rnacentral:lncRNA from 1 species
GAUCUGGGGUCAACAUUAAACAGGGGACAGUCAGGCUUUGGUCACCGUGUGUAGGUUGGGACUGAGGGUGAGACUGCAUAGUGCUGGGCUGGAAAAAUACUGAGAUCAUCGUCACCAUCACCAUCGCUGUCACUGUCACAAUCACCACCACCACCACCACCACCAUCAUCACCAUCAUCACCACCAUCACCACCACUGUCACCAUCACAGCCACCGUCACCAGCACUGCCACCAGAGAGAGCUCUUCUGUCCCCUGCAGUCCCCACCCUGCCCAGUGCUCUGUGGUGCUGGCACAGCCAGUUCCUCUCCAUUCCCCACUGUCCUGCGCAGUAGGGACUGAGCGUGGGGUCCCCAGACAACGCCUGGCCAGACGGCCCAGCUCUGGGGGAAGGAGGCCCUGGCUGGCGCCACCCUCCACAGGAAGGCCUGCGGUUCUCUUCUGCCUGGAAAGCCCUCCCAGCGAGCCUUCAUUGGAAUUUUUCUUGGACAAACCAUAUCAAAGCAUGGCACUGAAGCAGAGAGGGGAUGACCAGAAAUCAAAGACAAGCUUUCCUACUUCACUCUCCAGCCCUGUGCAAACUCACAAUGAACGUGUGCAUUUCUGGGACAACCAAAGGCUAAUUAUCAAAAACGUAAGCUAUGACAGAUGGUAGGUACUGAGACGUUUAACUAGUCCCACAUUUUUGUUUCACAGAAGAGAAAGUGGAGCCUGGGCGAGGGGAAGUAACUUUCCCAGGGCAUGUGUCUCGUUAAUGCAGACCCGGAUUUGUAAUUCCACAUCCAGGGCUGUGUUCCUGCCUGCUUAGAGGGC